UACAGAGGGGGCAAGCGUUGUUCGGAAUUACUGGGCGUAAAGGGCGCGUAGGCGGCCUGCUAAGUCGAACGUGAAAUCCCCGGGCUCAACCCGGGAACUGCGUCCGAGACUGGCGGGCUUGAAUCCGGGAGAGGGAUGCGGAAUUCCAGGUGUAGCGGUGAAAUGCGUAGAUAUCUGGAGGAACACCGGUGGCGAAGGCGGCAUCCUGGACCGGCAUUGACGCUGAGGCGCGAAAGCGUGGGGAGCGAACAGG
rnacentral:rRNA from 1 species